AAAAAAACACAAUCAGAGUCGGUGUUCUUCACAUCAUCAAUUCUAUAACAAUGGCUACGGAGCAAUCUGUUAUGCCGGUGAUACGGGCAGCAAGACCCACUUUCCGUAAUCCCCACGACAAGGUAGCGUUUGCUGUUCACGCUGCCUUCCUUGCUUCUGGCUUUGUUCUCCAUGCCACUGGCCCUGCCGCUUCAACUGAUGAUGCUCUUUCUUCCACCUCAACUGAUGAGGUGGGUAUUGAUCAUUGGAAUGAAUUUGAGGAUUGUUACGCAUUUGUGUAUUCAAAGCCUGAGAAGAGCUCCAAAAAAGUGUUGGUGAAGUGCCUCGCAAUGAACAAUAAGCUGCUUAUAGAUGCAUUCAGGGAUGGCGAUAACGAGCCUCUACAUCUUGAACUAAGUGUUGAGGACUACAUUGUCGAGGAUGGGGGAACUAACUACAACACCCAGUUCAAGAAUUUGGGAAAGCUGGUAGGAGAACUGAACAAAGCCAUCCUGACUAAAUAUACUGGUUCUUCUAUGUCAAAUUCCUCUACUCAAACUUCAAGUUCUGAAAAGGGAGAAAUCAACAACCCUCCUAAUGUUGAACGCCAACCUGACUAUCCGUAUCAGCCUG
rnacentral:misc_RNA from 1 species